AGCCUCCCUCAGCCUCCGGGUUUGCCUUGCUCUUGCUGAGAAAGCUGCUGAGGAGAAUGGCGGGGACGGAGCACCGGCAGCAGCAGCUCCUACUUCCUUUCUUCUCACAUGGCUCUGUCUGCUCCGAGAAGGAUUGAUUCAAUGAACAGGAAUUGACUAGCUGUGUCAUGGGGAGUCCACUAGAGAUGACCAGACAUAGUUUACAGCCAGUUGAAAGUCUUUAUUCUAGCUGCUGGGACUACACACAGUUAUUCAAGGACCUCAGUGUAGCCCUGAGUUUUGGGACGUUUUUGAAGAUCCCAUAUGAUGGUGCCAUCAACACUCGAGGUGGGCUCUUCCCCUCUGGUAAUCCCCCUGAAGAUGUUUCACCAUCUCCUAGGUGACUCUAAAUCCAAUCAACUUGACCAUGAAGAUUAACCACCACCACAGAGGAUUGAUUCCAGGUCCCUUCCUGGAUGCCCAACACAUGGACGAUCAACUCCUUUGUUGUAGACCUCAUCACUGGGACACAGUGCAAUGCGUGGCAGAGACAACAAAGGGAGGAAACAUUUAUGCCUCUCUUGGUUUCAGAGAUUCCAGUGCAUCAUGGCAGGUAGGGUGCAGCAGGCAGGAAGUAGAAUGGAGCAGUAACAGGAAGGGGCAAAAGAAAGGUACAGCCCCCUGUGAUCUACUUCCUCCCAGCUAGGCCCCACCUUUAGCCAUUCCAUCACCUUUAAAAUUUGAGCUACCAGCUGGGCACUGAGUAGUCAACAUAAGCCUGUAGAGGGCAUUUUAUAGUCAAAUCAUCCUUUUUAUAAAAUGGUAUAGUUGGUACAUAACCUACAUGCAUCCUCUCAGAUGCUUUGACCUCUAAAUUAUUUAUGAUAUUUAAUAUAAUUAAAUAGUAUGUAAAUGGCUGCUGUGUUGUAUUAUUUAGGGACUUGUGCAAGGAAAAAAGUCUGCUCUGUUCAAUACAGAUGCGUUUCUUUUCAAAUAUUUUCAGUCUGCAGCUGGUUGAAGUGUGUAUGGAAAUCUAUAGAAAUCAUGUGAAGUGCUAUGAAGCAUUAUAUAACAUAAAUGCAAUGAAAAUAUAUUAAAUACUAUUUCAUUAUAUAUUUGAUAUGAGCACUGCAUGCAAUUAGGGCAUCUUUGGAAAGCUGGCUUCAAGUUCUUAUCAUUUUCUACAGCCUUCCUUGUCCCACCAAAAAUCAAAGCUGCCUGCUACACAGCUUGAUUCACACUGGCCCUUCCAUUGCCUUCUUCACACCACAUACAUCAGGAAUCUGUUCUCAUACAGGAAGGAAUGGAAGUUCCUGCUGAUUGGACAAUCAGCCCCAGAGUAACCAAAUCCAUCAUGUUGAGCUCUCAGGUUCCUGUUUUCUGCUUAGUCCCUCUUCUUUGGGUGGGACUGUGCCUGUCUAUGGUGGCUAGUAGGCUAUGGAAUGUCAGAGUUGUUACUUGGCUCUUUCCUGCAACAGACUUUCUAUAACCCAUGAGGAACAUAUUCUGAGUUUCUCUGUAGUUCAGCUUACAAGUGGUUAAACAGCGAAGGAAAAAGUUCCAAAAGGCCCUGCCUGGUCCAUCUCUCCACUGCACAAUGGCAAAGCUCUU